GCUCCAGAGUGAACCGUGCGUGCCGGGAGCCGGGAGUCCGGAGACCGAACCAGAAUGGAUGCCUCGAGCAGACACAAUUCCCCUUAUUCAGAUUAUCCGAAAAUGUGAGUCACGUCCCCUUAGGCAAAACAGGUCUCUAGUUAGGGUGAUAUUUUUUUAAGAGAUAAAUUCCAAUCUGCCUUCCAACUCACCCCAUCUCAGUUUGCUGACGUUGCUGAUUUUUUUUUUACCCCUAGUUCCAACCGUAUAUUUAUUUUACAUUAUUUCUCUAGUGUCGUUGUUAAUAUUGAAAAAGAAGUUUUCUCUUACAUUAGUUUGUAUUACAAGUAGUGUUUGCGCUGACCUUAUUUUUCUGUUUUCCAAUAUGCACACACAAACGCACAUCUGUUAUAGAGCCUGUUCCAAGCUUGAGAGGUUGACCAAAAAAUAUCUGGGAAGAAAUGAGCUCGUGAUGUGUGUGCAUUUUUCUUAUUUACACAUUUCAUUGCUCGUGUGUUCCUGUGAUUCUUUUACACGAUCAGCACACGUGGGAGGGGAAAGAAAACAGCAACCUGAGUUCCUAGUUCGUAUUAACAGAGAAAAGGAUGGUUGAUACUGGAGCGCCGGUUUAUUGCUGGCUUAAUAUUUGAGUUAAUUUACGCGGCAGUAAAGAUUAAACCACUAGGGGCCUUAAACUAAUUUUCAGAAAGAGUUUACUCGCCUUUUGUUAUAGUGAAAGUUUCCCCCAUCCAUCCCUAAGUGCUCCAGGGAGGGGGCAGGUAGGAGAUUCCCAAAAGAGACUCUUCCUUGUAAGGUUUCUAGGACAGUUUCCUUCCUUUUGAUGAUUUUCUACGUAUAAGCCAAAUAAAAUCCAAAGGAUUAACUUGAAAUGGGUAUGAUUUUAUUCAUUCACUUCAUUCAUUCAUUUAACAAGCAUCAGUUUAGGGCUGUCAGGUUUGCUGGUUCUGUGGGUAAAGCAAAGAUAAAUCUGAUAGUGAUCUUACCCUUAAAGAACUUGGAAUGUAGUAGGUGAGAUAAGACAUGUAAACAAGUAAGUAUAUACAAGAUCCGGGAGAUAAAUGCCAUAAGAAAAGAACAGAUCAAGUGCUAGCUGAGUAUGGUCA
rnacentral:lncRNA from 10 species